rnacentral:lncRNA from 1 species
UAGCACAACUCCAAGAUCCUGGGACACUCAGUCCUCUCUACCUCUCAAGCAGGCAGCUCAGCUUCUAUACAUGGGGGCUGGUUUCCAAGAGGUUGAAAAUGGAAGAUCUCAAGACCCCUGAGACCUGAGCAUUGAAGUCACACAUAACUUUCCUGCAUUCUCUUGGUCAGACAAGUCCCAAGACUAGCCCAGCUCCAAGAAGUGUGGAAAUAGGCUCCACCUCCUGAUGAAGGGAGUUUUCAUUAAUUUCCGGCCAAGUUUAAUCUGUCACCCAGGGUACUUAUAGUGCCUAUGGUUUACAUAAUCAAAAAUAUAAAUGCAAUUCUCUAACAAUGACAAAAUUUUCUAGUGGUACAUAUUUAUUCACACAGCUACUUAUGUGUUAAUGUGUUUAUGCAGAUAAGGAUGUUGACCAAAAAAUUAGGUAGGAAAGGAGGGCAGGUAUAUUUAUUAUUUUCCAAUUUGAGAGAUAAAACUACAAAAAAAAACAAAGCUUUUAGAGAGGGCACCAUGCUAGGGAAACUGGGGCCCCCACCUUGGCCCCAGAGGGCUGGGCCCCAAGCAGCCAACCUCCCACAUAUGGCUACACACACACACACACACACACACACACAAUGUUCUUAGACAAUAAAUUUGGUUUCUUUUUUCACAAAAUUUGUGUUUCUAAAUAAGUUAGAGUUAUUAUUCUAUUUAAUCAGAUUGCCUUGGGAAAUCUUUGUUACAAUAGUUCUCAACCUGGUUGCAUUAUUGAAUCUCCCAGAGAAUCCUCAACCCCUGAAGAUUCUGAUGCAAUUGGUAGAGAAAGGAAAAAUCAUUUAUUCAGUAUACUUCAGCUUUUUAAGUUAUGACCCUAAUCCACAAAAGAUGUACCCUCUCUGAAUCUCAGACCUUGGAGCAUGAAAUUUUUCUGAUUUUCUGUUCAGUUCCAGGCACAGUUUGGGAAUCCAAGUAAAAAUUACACUUUCUGUGGUCAUCUGACCCCAGAAUUGUUUACUCAAGUCCUGAUAAACAAUCUUUCUAUGAUCCUUCUAAAUCCUUCAUUUAGAGGCUGCAAAAUGGUGGCCCACAAGCUAGAAAUGACCCAAGUUUUAUUUGACUUGUAUACAUACUGGUGGCCCAAACAGGACAUUUUAAAAAGGGGGUUGGGGGAGAGGAGUUAGGUGCCCACAUUUAUAAAUCAGGAGGUUUCACCUUAAGAACAGAGAGAGGCUUCUCUUGAAAAUGCUAAUGAUCUGAGAACACACAGCGAAUCUGAUAGGUUCUGGUCAGCCCCGGCCCUGUUUCUCAGUCCUCCUCGGUUUUCAUACCUGGCUGCCUUCGCUCAUUUACAAAAUCUGUCUCAACUCUGUAAGCAUUUGAGUUGGCACCCUUGGUCUAGUUCCAUAGCAGCUGCCAUUUUAUAACUGAAGAUUCUGAGGCCUAGAGUCUUAAGUGGCAUAGGUGAGGUUGGGUCCCUACGCUGUAACUGGCAGCACAUCUACAUUUAAUUUGGUUUUCAUUUCAAUCCUGAGAGGAAGGCUUUACUAGCCACCAUUCGUAAAUGAUGGAACAGAGGCUCAAAGAGGUUGAGUAAUCUGCCCAUAGGUAUACAUAGUUGGUAAGAGACAGAGCUGAUAUUCAAAUCCACAUCUUUUAAAAAAAAAUUUUAUUAAAGUAUAGUUGAUUUACAGUGUUCUGUCAAUUUCUGCUCUACAGCAAAGUGACCCUGUCAUGCAUAUGUGUACAUUCUUUUUCUCAUACUAGCUUCCAUCAUGGUCUAUCACAAGAGAUUGGAUGUAGUUCCCUGUACUGUACAGUAGGACCUCAUUGCAUAUCCAUUCCAAAUGUAGUAGUUUGCAUCUACUAACCCCAAACUCCCUGUCCAUCCCACUCCCUCCCCUGCCCUUGGCAACCACAAGUUUGUUCUCUAUGUCAGUGAGUCUGUUUCUGUUUUGUAGAUAGGUUCAUUUGUGCCAUAUUUUAGAUUCCACAUAUAAGUGGUAUCAUAUGGUAUUUGUCUUUCUCUUCCUGACUUAUCUCACUUCGUAUGAGACUCUCUAGUUGCAUUCAUGUUGCUGCAAAUGGCAUUAUUUCAUUCUUUUUAUGGCUGAGUGGUAUUCCAUUGUGUAUAUGUACCACAUCUUCUUAAUCCAUUCGUCUAUUGAUAGACAUUUAGGUUGUUGGGUCUAAAACUAGGUUCUUGGUGACCCUAGAGGCUAUUCUUUUUUUUCUUUUUUUUUUUUUGGCUGCACCCACAGCAUGCAUAAGUUCCCAGGUCAGGGAUUGAACCCUUGCCACAACAAUGACAACAUCCAUUCUUGCCCACUGUGAUGACUGCUUUUCCUUGCCUCCAAUCCCACUUCACCUCCUCUUCCCCCCAACACCCAUUUUACCUGUGUAUUAGCACAUACCAACAUUUCCUGCAUCCUCUCUCUCACCUCUGAGCCUCUCCAGCAACUUAUAGCUCUCUGUUAGUCCCAAAGCCCAUAUUCCCAUAUCACACAGCAUAUCACAGUCAUAAAGUAACCUGUUCUGUGGCAGGAAGGGGUCCAAUUACAACCCGUAUAAUUGGCAAAAGAGUCAUUCCUCAUAGCAAUCAUGGGCUUGGUGGUCAUCAGAGCAAUUACAUUUGUUGGACAUUUUCCUGUUUGCUUCAGCCAUCCCUUCAUCAGCGUCCUUUACAGAUCCCGGUGGACUCACUGAGACAUUUCACAAGUUAUCAAAUACAUGCAUUAAGGAUUGCUAAUAGCAGCCAAGGAGCAGAAAUCAUUAUGUGAGAAUAAAAUGCAUUGUGUAAAAAGAAAUUCUGGAGUGACAGAGGGGAAAAGGGGUAAUUUUUUUCCCUCCUACCGACCAUAGCUAAGGCCCAGUGGAAUUACUAUCUUGCAUGGAAGAAACCCUCUACAUCCUAUAAAUCUGAAAAAAUAGCAUGAUGGGAAUCUGGUUGCCUUGCUACUUGAACCAAUAUUUCCACGUUGUGUGUUGAUUUUCUCUAUGUCAUUAAAGAAGCAGCCAGUGGUUUUCUAGGGAGCAAACUUUCCCCUGUCAAGUUGGGGAGACAAGCCCAAUGGCCUCAUCUCUACUGUUCACAUAAAAUAAUUUGGUUUGAAUUUGAUUGGUCUGUGUGCUUCCAACUACUGUGGGAAAGAUGGAAACAAUUUAAUAGAUGUAUAGAAUUUUAGAAUAGAAUAGAAUAGGAAAAAAUAGAAUUUUAUAAGGACAGUAUCUGGUUCAAAGAUCCCAUCCUGGUUCCCAGUGGUCAGACCUGACUCGCAGAUGUGUUUUGUAGGAACUACACAAGAUUUUGGUAAAAAGUGAGACUUGAUUACCAACAUUUAAAAAUCAAGCGAUUUCAUUUUUUAAAAAAAUGUUACUUUUUGGCUUUUCUUAAUUUUUUUUUUUAAUCUGGAAAUUCUGAGCCAGCACCCUGUGACAAGAGUUGGCUGGUAAUGCAGAGAAGCUGCCUCUUUAGACAAAGGGGAUCUGCUCCUGGAAGUUUUCAGAUCCACCAACCUCUAUUGUCUCCCCAGUUCUCAGGCCAACAGGCAGCUGUCACAUCACUCAUUUACAUUUUAGAUACACAGAAAAUUUAAGUAAUGUGCCCAAGGUCAUUAAUUCCAUUUAUCCAACAAAUCUUUAUGGAAGCACAGACUCUUCGCCAGGUACUAAUCCAGGCACUAGGCAUACAGCUGUGAAAAAAACAACUCACAGUCUGGUCCUAUAGGGUUGACAUCCAGUGGGAGACCCAAACAGUAAACAAAAUCAGGAAAAGGUAGAGAAUGACAAAUGUUGAUAAGUACCAUGAAGAAAAAUCAAGCAGGCAAAUAGAAGAGGCAGUGGUGAAGAGUCACAAUUUAAGUGGGAGGAUGAGGAAGGCCUCUCUAAAAAGGUGAGUGGCAUUUGAGCACAACAAGCUCAAAAGAUGGGAAGGAGGGAGCCAUAUUCAUUUUUAUUUUUUGUCUUUUUAGGGCUGCACCCGCAUAUGGAAGUUCCUGGGCUAGGGGUCUAAUCAGAGGUGCAACUGCUGGCCUAGACCACAGCCACAGUAACUUGGGAUCCUUAACCCACUGAGCUGGGCCAGGGAUCAAACCCACAUCCUCAUGUUCACUAGUCAGGUUCUUUACCACUGAGCCACAAUGGGAACUCCCAUAUUUUUAGAGGGGGAGCAUUCCAGGCAGGAGUAGCAGGACCUGCAACGGACAUAAGAUGUUAAAACCAGUACUAGGACUUAAACCAGGGCCAGGUUGUUCUUCCAAUGAGAGGUGAUGUCCCUGGCCAUUAACCCUCAGCAGUUGUCCCAGGAUAUGCUUUUCCAGAAUACCUGCCAUCUGUGUCCUCAUGGAAACCUAAAACACCCUCAGUGAAAAUCCAGAUUUAUGCCAAAGAUAAAAUGCAAAGGGAUUAUUCACUUUACCCAGGGCCUCACAAUAGGAGCCUUUUAUUCAGGAAACUCCCCUAGUACAUGUAAAAUGGUUUUUUUGAUUUGGAGUUGUGAUUCUCACACUUUUUUGAAAACCCAUUUAUUGCACAAAGGAGGGAACCCCUAUAGUGUGGAUGGAUUUAGGCUGAGCCAGCCAUACUCCCUCACAGGUCCUAGGGUCCCCCUAUACCUCCUAACAGGAGUCCUUUGCAAGCUGCACAGCUAAGGUUGGGAGCAUCCUGGGUGGAAGCAAGUGCCAACUGACUGAACUCCACAAUCCUGGGCUGUAGCCAAAAGAACUGGGCACUAACUUUGCCUAUACACACCAUCUACUGUAGUAGCUGCUGCUACAGCCACUCUGCCCUCCUCCCAACUCACCCCACCCCACCCCACAGGGCUUCAUUCAAAGCUGUGCCUGUGGGGGUUGCCCCAUUGUUUUUUUCAGGUGUUGUUGUUAGAGUUUAUUGUUUUUCAGAUUCAAAAAAUACACAAUGGAGGAUUUAGAAAACACAAAGAAGAAUAAAUUGUUUUUUAAAAAAAACAUCCAUAACUCCAUCAUGCAGAGAAAACCAUUGGUAUCCAGCCUGGCUGGCUACUCAUUGUUGAAUUUGUAGGGAUUUUAUUGACAGUCCUCUUGUCUGUCUCCAAAAAAGCUUCUUUACCAUGACACCGUUCCCCUCAAGAAUGCUGAAUGCAAAGGCUUGGAUGUGGGUAAAUCAAAGAGGAAGGAAGGAGGUGAACUCAAACUGGCUGGUGAAAUUCAAGCUCCCAAUGUCCUCAUCUGUAACCAGCUGGGCAGAUGCUGAAUCUAUGGAUGGAGAGAGGGGCUUUCUAGAUGAGAAGGUGCAACGCGGAAGCUGGGCUUCAGGCAGAGGCUGGGACUGCCACGCCGCUUCCCCCCACCCCCCACCCCCCAGCGUGAGAUUGCAGGAGGGGGUGGUUACAGCAUUGUGCAAGGUAGGAAGACCCAGAUCCUUCUCUUCCAGGGUCUAGAUGUGCUAUGAAGGGCUUGGCUCUGCAUGAUGGCCCUCAGGAAUCCAGCUCUGUGGUGAGAGGCUGCCUUACUUCCUCAAUCUAUCAGUCCUACCAGUGCUGCAGGCACCCCCCACUCCAAACAGUAAUGCCACAGUGAUGGUGGUAACAGUGCUGGGAAGGGCUGGAUAUGAUCAUUACAGAAGCAGAAUGUAUCAGUCAGCCCUUGUCACAGCAAUGCUCUAUGACAAAACUAUCCUAAAAUAAAGUGGCUGAAAACAGUGAUCAAUUAUUCUUACUUAAGCAUCUAUGGGUUGUCUGGGAAUCAGCUGACCUAAGUCAGGCUCAGAUCAGCUGGGUUUCAAACUGCUAAAAGGUAUCAUCUCCAUGUCUCUCUAACCCACCUUGGAUCAAUGGAAUAUGUAGAUUAAAUUCUUCCUGUGCCAAUGGCAAAAGCUCAGGAACAUAAACUAAAUUUCAAGGUGCAUUUCAAGCCUUGGCUCACAUCUUUGCUUCACAUCUUUUCUGAGAGGACAAGAUAAGGUAGUAGGAAAGUGGUGCUGUCUGCUUGCUACUAAAUGCUAGUUCAAGCUAUGCAACCCACCUCAUGUCUGAAAUUCAUUUAUCCUUACUACUUGUGUUUCUUUAAAAUUCUUCUGAGCAUUGCAAACCAACCCUUAAUAUGUUAUGAUAAAUAUGAAGACUUUGUCCUCUCUGUUUCAUAUAAGUGAGCAGAGGCUUCCUAAGUUCUGCUCAAUGGUAAGAAAUAUAAAUAGUUUGUUACAGCAAAUGGAUUUUAGGUAAGAUAUAGGAAAGAAUUCCUUAAACAAGACAUCCAUGACAUUAUGGAAACUCCUUUGGUGGAAGUUUUUAAAACAGCUCAAUCUGGAUUUCCCUUCAUGACUCAGAAGUUAACAAACCCAACUAGGAUCCAUGAGGACGCAGGUUUAAUACCUGGCCUCACUCAGUGGGUUAAGGAUCCGGCAUUGCCUUGGGCUGUGGUGUAGGUCAGAGAUGCAGUUCAGAUCCCAUGUUGCUGUGGCUGUGGUGUAGGCUGACAGCUGUAGCUUUGAUUUGACCCCUAGCCUGGGAAAUUCCAUAUGCCACACCUGCGGCU